UACGGAGGGAGCUAGCGUUGUUCGGAAUUACUGGGCGUAAAGCGCACGUAGGCGGCUUUGUAAGUUAGAGGUGAAAGCCCGGGGCUCAACCCCGGAAUAGCCUUUAAGACUGCAUCGGCUUGAAUCCGGGAGAGGUGAGUGGAAUUCCGAGUUGUAGAGGUGAAAUUCGUAGAUAUUCGGAAGAACACCUAGUGGCGAAGGCGGCUCACUGGACCGGGUAUUGACGGCUGGAGGUGCGAAAGCGUGGGGACGCAAACAGG
rnacentral:rRNA from 1 species